AAGUUUACAGCAAGUAUUUAGUCAUUGAGCUAUCAUUCAAAUCAUAAUAACUAGUCUUUACAAAAUAGAGCCCCAAAGUGCUAUAGAUAAAAGGUUUUCAUUUUGCUUUGCUUUUUAACUUUGGUGUUGUCUCUUUUCCUUUCUUUCUUCUCCCCUCAUCUUCUCUCUACCCUAUGGUCUGUUUUGGAUUUUUCUCGUUAUAUAUAAGCUUUAACUUUUGCUUUUCUUCUUUUUUUCUCCCCCUUUCUUUUUGAAUGGUUUUAGCAUCCUUGGGCGCAGAAAACUCUGGAAAUGUAUUCAUAAGUUUAGAAAUUAUAUAAGACACUUCAGAAUGAUAAUACUUAAUUAUUUUAGAAAUUUCCAUUUUGAAUUAUAUUGUUUAGGGGGAGGGCUAUUAAAGUGUUCUCUGCCAAUUUAUGAUACAUUUUAGAUUUCCCAGUUUUUUUCUGGAUAUCUGUCAGGAGAUGGUGUAGAGGUUUGGUAAGUAAUACAGUUUGAUUUUGUAUGUCUCAAGGGUUACUCAUUCAGUCACAUAUUUGAGUUUAUUUUAUUCUGGCCUUUUUCCCCUCUGGGGAUUCUAUUUAUAGUAUUAAUUGAAAAUCUUUAUGUUAAUGCUAAUUUUGAUUUUUUUUUCCACUAGCAUGUAUUGGAGCACUCAGGCUUGAAGAAGGACAUAGAGCCCUUAUUGGAUUUAAGCCCCAUAUCAUAUCUCACAUACCUGAGACAGACAUACCACAGUGAACCCUGCAUGUCCUUGUAAGUUCUUUUCCGUGCCUAGAAGUUGCAGAAGACCAAGGAACCUUGGAAGUGACUUACUCUUUUGCUUCAUAAAGUUGCUUUAAAAC
rnacentral:lncRNA from 1 species